GCCCAGAUAGCUCAGUCGGUAGAGCAAGCGACUGAAAAUCGCUGUGUCGAUGGUUCGAUUCCAUCUCUGGGCACCA
rnacentral:tRNA from 1 species